CAUUUCUUAACAAUUAGUUUAUCAUAUUGGAAUGAUACAGAGAAGAUUAGCGUAACCCCUGUGCAAGGAUGACGUGCAAAUUCACAAAGCAUUCCAUAAAACA
rnacentral:snRNA from 1 species